UACGAGGGAUCCUAGCGUUGUUCGGAAUCACUGGGCGUAAAGGGUGCGUAGGCGGGUCUUUUAAGUCAGGGGUGAAAUCCUGGAGCUCAACUCCAGAACUGCCUUUGAUACUGAGGAUCUUGAGUUCGGGAGAGGUGAGUGGAACUGCGAGUGUAGAGGUGAAAUUCGUAGAUAUUCGCAAGAACACCAGUGGCGAAGGCGGCUCACUGGCCCGAUACUGACGCUGAGGCACGAAAGCGUGGGGAGCAAACAGG
rnacentral:rRNA from 1 species